UUCGAAGCUGGGGCACACGCAGCUUCAGAGACCACUUGAGUUGAAACUUGGGGAGUGUUGGAAAUCCCUAUCGGCUCCGCGAUCUAGUCAAGGGUGCGGCCACAGAGAGCCGCCGAGUUGGUGGACCCUCUAUUCAUUCCCGGGGUCUGGGUCUCCAGGCUGGGGCCGAGCCUCUGGGCAGACGCGUAGCCGCUCGCCUGCUUUCUGGAUUCACCGUCCCCCAGACGUACUUCAGGUACGAAAAGAAUUGAGCUCAUUAAUUCUUGCCCUCACCAAUGAGUUAGUGAACUGAGAGAAGUAAAUGUGGCGCAGACAAUUUCAUUCCCAUGCUCAGAUGAAAUGCUAAUUCUGGAACCAGUUGUGCUGCCUGCCAAAAGUCUCACACAAUUCCACUGUGGAUCUUUAUAGGCCUUGGGCCUCAGGUGAAGGCCCUCAGAACCCGCAUGCCCUCACUCCUGGUCUUCUCAGAGGUGACAGACCUACUGCUUUCUACACCAGGCAUCCUAUAAUGAUAGUUUUGUGUUGCCAUCUGGAACAUAAAGACUGAUUUUCAAAGUAUAAAGAAGCUAUUGCUGUAUGGAAAGGUCAUUUAUAAGAACAAUAACAGAAGAAACGGUGUCUGGGUUGUAAAAUGCUGAGUUAUUGAAUAUGUUUCCUAGUAAAAAAAAAAAGUAAGGUAUUGGAUGUGAAUAUGCAUAACAACACACUUCAGUAUUGCUCUUCCACUUUGGUUCUGC